UUCCAGACUCCUACGGGAGGCAGCAGUGGGGAAUAUUGCACAAUGGGGGAAACCCUGAUGCAGCGACGCCGCGUGAGCGAUGAAGUAUUUCGGUAUGUAAAGCUCUAUCAGCAGGGAAGAAGAUGACGGUACCUGACUAAGAAGCCCCGGCUAACUACGUGCCAGCAGCCGCGGUAAUACGUAGGGGGCAAGCGUUAUCCGGAUUGACUGGGUGUAAAGGGAGCGUAGACGGCGAUGCAAGCCAGAUGUGAAAGCCCGGGGCUCAACCCCGGGACUGCAUUUGGAACUGUGUGGCUGGAGUGUCGGAGAGGCAGGCGGAAUUCCUAGUGUAGCGGUGAAAUGCGUAGAUAUUAGGAGGAACACCAGUGGCGAAGGCGGCCUGCUGGACGAUGACUGACGUUGAGGCUCGAAAGCGUGGGGAGCAAACAGGAUUAGAUACCCACGUA
rnacentral:rRNA from 1 species